UGGUUCUGAAAAUAGGUUUUGAAUAUACUUAUUAAUGAAUCGUAUUACUGAAAAGCCUGGAAUAUUCACAGUGAGGGGAAUAUAAAGAGUGCAAUACGAAGGAUUUCAACGAAUCUAAGAAGCAAGGAAAAGUAGAUUUUGUCAGCAGAAUAAUGUUAUUCGCAUUACUGUUUUACAGUCACUGUCACAAAAAUGCUUUCGACAAAAAACGUCUAAAUUAACUACGUUUCAUGCGGUUCAUACAGUCACCGCAAUUGGGGGUUUUCCUGCACAAACAUGCUAUUAAACGUUUGUGAAGGAGAAAACAAACACUUGCAUUUAAUGUUGGACAAAUUUAACCACAAACAUCGAGUGAAUGCAGUUCUGUGUGGUUGAGGGGCAUGAGUUCUUUACGGUGUGUAGUUCCAGGAGGCAGGAGUGAGGCUUCGUGGAAGUGAAUCUACCUCAUCCCCCUGUUGCCUGAGGGUUGACACUGAUGCGGGCGGAGGUGACACAGGGAGAGGACGGACUGUGGGAGGUCAGAGGUCAGAGGGGGUGAGGCUGGCACAAACGCCCGGGCUUGCAGCUUGCGUGUCGCUAGGUCCGCACCCAGCUGACGGGGACCCAGAAGGCCUCUCGCUCCAGACGGUCCAGAAUGCACUGCAGCUCUGCGCUUGUGCUGGCGACAUCCCCCCUCACCAGGACUCGGUCUACCAGGUGACCGUACUGCUGGUCAAUCUGUUGCGCUGACUGCUGUAUUUCCUCAAUCUCUUCAUCCUGAUUGGCAGAGAAUGAGAGGGUCAUGGUCAGGGCUGUGUUCAGUCAGUGGAUGGCAGCUCUAUCACCAAAUCUAUCACCAAGUGCAUGAUGGGAGAUGAAGUCCAGAGCUUCAACUUUAUGUUUUAGUGUGCUUUGAGGCUCUCCUCCCCACAAAUUUAUUUAACCUAUUUAUUUAUUUUAGUGGAACGCUGGCCAAGAGAGCAAAUACAAUACCUAAAAUAUAAGACAAAAAGUUGUUACAACAAACAUGUAGCGGCAGAAUAAAUCACAGAAACUCCUUGAAAAGCAAUCCUUGUAGAACAACCUCCUACAAUGUAAGGCAAUUCUAGUGCUGCAUUUCCU